UUCAUCACCAUGGAAAAAGGCAAAGAACUCAUAAAUGAAAAGAAGGAAGUCACCCCCCUCCACAGACAACAUAUAAUUAUGAACACAUAAGUUGGAGAUUCCCACAGCUGCAAUCAUUCCAAACAUGACGAGGAACAUGCCUCCGAUGACCGGAUCUGGGAUGGUGAUGAAAACGGCCCCGAACUUCCCAACGAGUCCUAGGAUAAUCAUCAGGAGACCAGCGGUCUGAAGGACCAGUCUGCUGCCAACCUGGCAUGAUGGGCACAACGAAGAGGGCACAGCAUUACAAGUCAUUAAUCAUUAAGGAUGUGGUGCCGUUCCCGCUGCCCCACAGCGCUGCCAGGAUGCAGCCAAUGCCCUCCACAGCGAUACCCCGGUUGAUUGCGUGGGUGGGCGGAGGAGGGGCACCGGACAGACGGGCACAGGCAUAGUAGUCCCCAAUAGACUCCAUGGUGGAGGCAAGGACGCCAGCCAUCAUGCCCAACACAGAGGACACACUCACUGUGGGCAUGCCCCAUUGGCCUAAAGGGAAAGAGAGUAGACAGAUUAUCACACACACAUUCAUCUGCACACACAUACACACACAAAAUAUAUAUGUUUACAGUUGUCUACAGUUUUUUUAAGAGACUUUCAACAUUGUAAUGUAUUCUUUGACAGGUACAAAUGCUACAG